rnacentral:piRNA from 1 species
UAGUAUGCAGUUGCUGACUGAAUUCUUACC